GCACAAGCGGUGGAGCAUGUGGUUCAAUUCGACGCAACGCGAAGAACCUUACCUGGGCUCGAAAUGUAGUGGAAUGAGGUAGAAAUAUCUCCGUCUCGCAAGAGACUGCUAUAUAGGUGCUGCAUGGCUGUCGUCAGCUCGUGUCGUGAGAUGUUGGGUUAAGUCCCGCAACGAGCGCAACCCUUAUCUUUAGUUGCCAUCAGGUCAAGCUGGGCACUCUAACGAAACCGCCUCGGAUAACGGGGAGGAAGGUGGGGAUGACGUCAAGUCCUCAUGGCCUUUAUGUCCAGGGCUACACACGUGCUACAAUGGCCGGUACAAACCGUCGCAAACCCGCGAGGGGGAGCUAAUCGGAAAAAGCCGGCCUCAGUUCGGAUUGGAGUCUGCAACCCGACUCCAUGAAGCUGGAAUCGCUAGUAAUCGCGGAUCAGAACGCCGCGGUGAAUACGUUCCCGGGC
rnacentral:rRNA from 1 species